AUAAAAUUACUUCUGUCGUAUUGCUGAUGCUAAUUAUUAAUUUUCUAACUUCGAGUUGUUAGAAAUAUAUAAUUUAUUUAUUUAAAGUAUAUAUAUACAACACACAUGAGGCCUCAAUUAUGAUUCGAUUUAAUCAGCUUUCUGCCAUUUUGAAUAUAAUUCAAUCUAACCUGACCUCUCGUCAUUUCGAACAUGACUCAGUCUAAUCCGACCUCCCGCCACAGGACGGGAUACUAACAUUCUUAAACCAACACUUUCAAUGAAAUUUAUGAUCAGCAGUUUUAAAUGAAAAUUUGUAAUUUU
rnacentral:lncRNA from 1 species